rnacentral:rRNA from 1 species
UACGGAGGGUGCAAGCGUUAUCCGGAUUCACUGGGGUUAAAGGGUGCGUAGGUGGGCUAGUAAGUCCGUGGUGAAAUCCCCGAGCUUAACUCGGGAACUGCCGUGGAUACUAUUAGUCUUGAAUAUCGUGGAGGUAAGCGGAAUAUGUCAUGUAGCGGUGAAAUGCUUAGAGAUGACAUAGAACACCGAUUGCGAAGGCAGCUCACUAAACAUGUAUUGACGCUGAGGCACGAAAGCGUGGGGAUCAAACAGG